rnacentral:lncRNA from 1 species
AAUUCAUUUGUGUGUUAUUUGCCGUUAAUGGUUAGAAUAAACCUUUCAAUCAGAUGAUUUUUUUGUCAAUUGCUGAUAGAUUCCUAUUUUUAUUUGUUAUUUGCUACUUAAAUUUGUUCUUACAAUAUAAAGUGAUAUGUUUUCACUAUUAACUUGCCUUGGAUUUCCUGAGUUUUGAUUAUGUAUUUUUUUCUUUGAAUUUCUGUUGAAAAUAUUGUUAGUUAGUUGUUAUAUUUAUUAGGAUUUGUUUCUAUCUUUUAGUUAAAUAUCCCCCUACUUCUUAGGAGUUGUUAGUGGGAUUUAUAUGGUUUUUCCACACACCAGUUUUCAGUUAGUGGAAUGAUUUAGUAGAGUGAUUUAAUUUAUUUGUUUUUCCUUUGUAAAGGCUUUAUAUAGGCCACUACAUUGCAGUUGAAUAAAAUCAUAACAUUCCCUUCUUUCCAUUCAACAAUUUCAUCAAAAUGUUGGUGUGGUUAAGAUGUAUUGAUGGAUUUGGAGGUAAAUCCAUGUCCUCUCUCAUUCAACUCAUGGCUUUGGAGUAUUGUUUUCCACCGUAGG